UUAAGUCUGAUGUGAAAGCCCACGGCUCAACCGUGGAGGGUCAUUGGAAACUGGGAAACUUGAGUACAGAAGAGGAAAGUGGAAUUCCAUGUGUAGCGGUGAAAUGCGCAGAGAUAUGGAGGAACACCAGUGGCGAAGGCGACUUUCUGGUCUGUAACUGACGCUGAUGUGCGAAAGCGUGGGGAUCAAACAGGAUUAGAUACCCUGGUAGUCCACGCCGUAAACGAUGAGUGCUAAGUGUUAGGGGGUUUCCGCCCCUUAGUGCUGCAGCUAACGCAUUAAGCACUCCGCCUGGGGAGUACGACCGCAAGGUUGAAACUCAAAGGAAUUGACGGGGACCCGCACAAGCGGUGGAGC
rnacentral:rRNA from 1 species